AUUUUAUUUGCUUGCCAGAUCACUUCAGAUUGGUUUGGCCCAGGGAUCUGAAAACUAUCUUGUGGGAAGCUGCAUUUCCUGCCCCAGCUGUACAUUGGUCGCCAAGACAAAGCUUCUGGGGAAAAUGAAUCCAAAUUCCUGGUUGAAGAAUCUUUCAGAUCACGUUUAAUAUUCCAGCACCCUGUGACCUGUGUGAAGAAGGCACUAGGGAAGCAGGAGACGGAAACAACAAAAAGAAGAAAAAGCCUCUCCUGCAGAGUGGUCUGAAGAAGACCUUGCUGAGCUGCCUGCCCCUCUUGCUGCUGAAGUGCUCCCUCCGUGCUGCCUCAGCUGCUGGAUGGCAACGGGAAGAAAUGAAAGACCAAAAGAGGUCCAGGAGUGACUUUAGGCUGUUCAUGACUGUGUGAGGCCACAGGCAGGCCCUGUGGGAUGCAGCGGGGUUUACAGGAGGGCUGGCUCCAUGAUGUCCCACAGCUGCUCCAGAGGGGAAUGGGGCAUCCACUCAUGUCCCCCUAAAUGCAUUAUCGCCUCAUGGAGGAUUACACAUUCCAAAUCAAAUUCACCACGUAAAUGGAUUUUGGUGAGGUAAUUCUCUUGUUUCUAAACAGACGGCAUAGGGAAAAGUGAUGAAAGUUGGCGCUUGCUUUCAAAUGCUAAUGUACUUAGCAACAAUAAAGUUUAAAAGCUGAGUUAUAAAGUGAAAACA
rnacentral:lncRNA from 1 species